rnacentral:rRNA from 1 species
ACUCAAAUGAAUUGACGGGGACCCGCACAAGCAGAGGAGGAUGUGGUUUAAUAUGACGCUACGCGUAGAACCUUACCGAGGCUUGACAUCUUAGGAAUCCCGCAGAAAUGCGGGAGUGCCUUCGGGAGCCUAAUGACAGGUGCUGCAUGGCCGUCGUCAGCUCGUGUCGUGAGAUGUUGGGUUAAGUCCCGCAACGAGCGCAACCCUUCUCGUAUGUUGUAUUUUUCAUGCGAGACUGCCCGGGCCAACCGGGAGGAAGGUGGGGAUGAAGUCAGGUCGGCAUGGCCCUUACGCCUCGGGCCACACACGUCCUACAAUGGCCGGUACAACGCGUUGCCAAGCCGCGAGGCGGAGCUAAUCGCAACAAAACCGGUCUCAGUUCGGAUUGAAGGCUGCAACUCGCCUUCAUGAAGUCGGAUUUGCUAGUAAACGUGGGUCAGCACACCACGUUGAAUACGUUCCCGGGUCUUGCACACACCGCCCGU